NGCGGAGAGGAUGAUGGGAGCUUCCGGUCGCGAAUCCGAUGUAGUUUGAUGCUAAGAAAGGUAAGAGAAAGAGAGAUAGAAGUAGAGGUAGACUGAGAGAGAGAGAGUUGAGUAGAGAGUAGAGAAUUGGAAAUAGAGGAGAAUGGGGAAGAGAAGUAGUGGAGAAGAAGAAGGGUUUGGAGAAGAACUUUUGGGGGAGAAAAUAGACUAAUUCAUUU
rnacentral:lncRNA from 1 species